AGAGUUUGAUCAUGGCUCAGGAUGAACGCUAGCGGCAGGCUAAUACAUGCAAGUCGAACGGUAACAUGAGUAGCAAUACUUGAUGACGAGUGGCGCACGGGUGCGUAACACGUAUGCAAUCUACCUUUAACUGGGGAAUAGCUCCGAGAAAUCGGAAUUAAUACCCCAUAACAUUAUGAAAUGGCAUCAUUUUAUAAUUAAAACUACGGUGGUUAAAGAUGAGCAUGCGCGACAUUAGCUAGUUGGUGAGGUAAUGGCUCACCAAGGCUACGAUGUCUAGGGGAUCUGAGAGGAUUAACCCCCACACUGGUACUGAGAUACGGACCAGACUCCUACGGGAGGCAGCAGUAAGGAAUAUUGGUCAAUGGACGAAAGUCUGAACCAGCCAUGCCGCGUGCAGGAUGACGGCCCUAUGGGUUGUAAACUGCUUUUGUACGGGAAAAAACCCCUCUACGUGUAGAGGGCUGAUGGUACCGUAAGAAUAAGGAUCGGCUAACUCCGUGCCAGCAGCCGCGGUAAUACGGAGGAUCCAAGCGUUAUCCGGAUUCAUUGGGUUUAAAGGGUGCGUAGGUGGAAUAGUAAGUCAGUGGUGAAAGCCUGUUGCUUAACAACAGAACUGCCAUUGAUACUGCUAAUCUUGAGUACAUUUGAAGUGGGCGGAAUGUGUCAUGUAGCGGUGAAAUGCUUAGAUAUGACACAGAACACCGAUUGCGAAGGCAGCUCACUAAACUGUAACUGACACUGAGGCACGAAAGCGUGGGGAUCAAACAGGAUUAGAUACCCUAGUAGUCC
rnacentral:rRNA from 1 species